rnacentral:lncRNA from 1 species
GUUCCCUUUGACUUUUUCAGCGCGUAGUAUAGUAAGGGGGGACUCGAGACCACAUUACCUCAAGCCGGGGAGUUCAUUCUGAUGUUAUCAGCCCCACUUCUCGACUGGGAAUCGGGUGGCCCGACAUUCUAAUACCUCUAUUGACAAAAAAUAUAUCAGGAUAAUCUUCGAGGGACGGGUAUGUGCCUUUGAAGUGAAAGAAUUUCGUGGGAUUCUGAUAUCCGUAUUGGACAAGGCUCGAUUAUGUCGUGGUGACACUUGACUAAAGCGAGAACACGACUGAUAAAGUGUGAACGUCACAACACCGCAAAUUAGCGUAUCGUGUGGUUGAUAAGACACAUCGUCUUGUUUUCUGGAUUCAUUGGAGAACUGACAUACUUUUCCCAACGUGUAAAGACUGAUAUAUGAACCCUGACUUGACCUCGACAACAAAGUGGUCUACUGAACAGCGUCCUUUGGAGUAGUUCGGUGGCCACAUCAGGGCGCAUAUCGUCGAUCUUGUCUUUCUUUUGGAACAAUUUCGGGUGCUAAUGUGGACUCGCUGGCAUGACGUCAGGCCACGCCUCAUCACUGUCAUCAAGUAGUCGAGGCCCCGCCCACAUCAGGCUUGACUGGCGUGCACUGCAGCUUCCCCUCAUCCUGCUCCUUUCCUUCUUCACGCCCGCAGAAUCCGGUGAGUGUCCACAGAAUG